AUUGAACGCUGGCGGCAUGCCUUACACAUGCAAGUCGAACGGCAGCACGGGAGCAAUCCUGGUGGCGAGUGGCGAACGGGUGAGUAAUAUAUCGGAACGUGCCCAGUCGUGGGGGAUAACGCAGCGAAAGCUGUGCUAAUACCGCAUACGAUCUCUGGAUGAAAGCGGGGGACUUGCAAGAGCCUCGCGCGAUUGGAGCGGCCGAUAUCAGAUUAGCUAGUUGGUAGGGUAAAAGCCUACCAAGGCGACGAUCAGUAGCUGGUCUGAGAGGAUGAUCAGCCACACUGGGACUGAGACACGGCCCAGACUCCUACGGGAGGCAGCAGUGGGGAAUUUUGGACAAUGGGCGCAAGCCUGAUCCAGCCAUGCCGCGUGAGUGAAGAAGGCCUUCGGGUUGUAAAGCUCUUUCGCAAGGAAAGAAAACUUACAUGUAAAUAAUGUGUGAGGUUGA
rnacentral:rRNA from 1 species